UACGUAGGGGGCAAGCGUUAUCCGGAUUUACUGGGUGUAAAGGGGGCGCAGACGGCGCGGCAAGUCCGGAGUGAAAUCCCAGGGCCCAACCCUGGGGCUGCUCUGGAAACUGCCGGGCUGGAGUGCUGGAGGGGCAGGCGGAAUUCCUAGUGUAGCGGUGAAAUGCGUAGAUAUUAGGAGGAACACCGGUGGCGAAGGCGGCCUGCUGGACAGCGACUGACGUUGAGGCCCGAAAGCGUGGGGAGCUAACAGG
rnacentral:rRNA from 1 species